GGCCGGCAGCUGGGCGCCAGCUCCGCGGCGCUCGCCUCGUCUCGUGCACCCGCGGCUGCUUGGAGGAAGGGGCACCUGGGUCCAGUUUUCAUGCUGCUGCCAACUCAUCUAGGGCGUUCUCGACUCUCCUGACAUUUUCUUUCUCCAGGUCUGCUUAAGACUCUGCUCUUCCCCAGGACGAGGAGAAAAUGACACCCCCCCCCCCGCCCCCACAGAGUGCCAGAAUCGCUUAAACAGCACUGUGAGAGGGCUGCUUUCCCAUGAAGGUUUCUUGAAGCUUUUGAGUCAUGAGGGAACUUUCCAGUGGAGAUGCAGAUGUUUACUCUGACUGAAAGCUAUACUGCAGCCCUCAUUUCUACAGGUUUCCGGCGGUGUGGACUCUCUGAUGGUAUACAAGAUGUGAUCUCUGACUAAAGCCCUUACAACAGACAUCACAUACAUAUGGUCUCUCUCCAGUGUGGACCCUCUGAUGUGUGUGAAAAUGUGAGGCCUGACUGAAGCCCUUACCACACUGCUGACAAGUAUAGGGCUUCUCUCCUGUGUGAACACGCUGAUGAGCACUGAGCCCAGCACUCCAGCUGAAUUCUUUGCCACACUCCUCACAUUUAAAUGGUUUCUCUCCAGUGUGGAUAAUCUGAUGGACCUGCAGAUUUGACCUCUGGCUGAAGGCCUUACCACAAGUAUCACAUUUAAAUGGCUUCUCUCCGGUGUGGACUCUCUGAUGGGCUUGAAGAUGUGAAGCCUGACUGAAUCGUUUCUGACACGCAUCACAUUUGAAUGGUUUUUCUCCAGUGUGGACACUCUGAUGAGCUUGUAGAUUUGAGGCCUGACUAAAACCUUUACCACACUCCUCACAUUUAUAAGGUUUCUCUCCUGUGUGGACUCUCUGAUGGUUGUGAAGAUUCAAGCUCCAAUUGAAGCGCUUCCCACACACCUCACAUUUAUAUGGUUUUUCUCCAGUGUGGACUCGCUGGUGGGCUUGAAAAUAUGAGCUCUGACUGAAGCCCUUCCCACACACAUUACAUCGAAAUGGUUUCUCUCCUGUGUGAACCCUCUGAUGGCUCUGGAAACUUGAGGCUGAACUAAAACCCUUGCCACACUCUUCACAUUUAUAUGGUUUCUCUCCUGUGUGGACUCUCUGGUGACUGUGAAGGUUAAAGCUCAAACUAAAGCACUUACCACACUCAUCACAUUUGUAUGGUUUUUCUUCGGUGUGGACUCUCUGGUGGGUGUGAAGAUUUGAGCUACAACUAAAGCGUUUGCCACAAUCUCCACAUUUAUAUGGCUUCUCUCCAGUGUGGAUUCUUUCAUGGGCCUGAAGAUGUGAUCUCUGAGUGAAGCCUUUCCCACAUACCUCACAUUUAUAAGGUUUCUCUCCGGUGUGAACUCGGCAAUGAAUAUUCAGGUCUGUGCUGCGACUGAAGCCUUUUCCACAACUGUCACAUCUAUAAGGCUUCUCUCCUGUGUGAAUAGGCAGAUGAGCAUAGAGAUGUGAGGUCUGAUUAAAGCUCUUACCACACUCAAGGCAUGAAUAAGGCUUCUCCCCUGUGUGGACUCUCUGGUGAGUCUGCAGGUUGGAGCUCUGACUAAAGCCCUUCCCGCACUCAUGACACCAAUAGCGCUUCUUCCCUGUGUGGACACUGGCAUCGGCAGAGCUGUAACUUGUGUCCUUCUCCUGGGUCCUGUAUGUCAGGGACUUCUUUCCCACGUGGACCUGCUGAAGUUCAAGACCGGAAACAUUGCUGAAGGCUUUCUCACAUUCUCCACACGGGUGAGUUUUCUGGCCUGUGCAAACUGUACCUGGCUGGGCCAAAGGUGAUGCCUUUAAGUUGUCUUUACCACAGUCACUGUCAGGCGCUUUCUCUCCUUCAUGCACAGGGUCAUCACCAUGGUGUUGUGAAACAUGACUGAAAAUGUCAACACAUGGAGCAAAGAAACAUAAGCUGUUUCUCAUCUGAGUCUGCUGACAGCUUCUCUGCAUGGAAGCUCUCCCACGGGAAGGUGCUCUAUUCCCACUUCCUGAAGAGUCUCCAUCUCAUCUUGAUGCCGACCUCCUGAAAAGACAAAGAGAACAGGGAUUAUGGAGAGCGAGUGACACCAACAAGGUGGCUGAUUAAUAAGAAGCACCAGUACCCUCAGGGACAUAUCGAAGACCUGCAGCAACCAAGAGAACCACCACUCAAGGAAAAGACAUUUUAUGCUGCCUGCUGCACGGUGGGCCCAGCCUGAUCACCUGCUGCCAGCUGAGGUCCUGCUGCUCAAGACUCUGUACAGAACGUGUAACCCUUGCCACGUCUUCGAGGGAUUUCCACUAUUUUCCAGAAAGUUUUGAGUCGUGUAGUCAUAUACAAUAUACUCCCACAGGAUCCUGUUAUCUGAACAAGGAACUUCCCACAGAAAGAGGCAGAGCCCCACAUUCCAGAAUACAUGUAAUGCCCAGUUGGUAGCAGGAGCAGGGUGACUGCGCUGCAGGUGACAAAAGCCUGAACAAACUUCAAUAUCUAGUUGCAUAUUAUCCGGCCACUGCUCCUACGCAAAAUGAAAAGCAAUCUCCAUAGCCCUGGAGUCAGGAAUUGCAUUUCAGGUGAUCCAAGCAAGCUAGAAGGUAUUAAUUGUUCGUACUCUGCUCCUGCUCUCCCUGCUCAUGCUCCCCCAUGAAAUGAGAAACAAGCUCUUCUAGCUUACAAAUAGUGACUCCUGGGGUAUCAAGAUUGCUUCUCACUUUCCACAGGAGCAGAGGGGAGGAGGGCAGAAGCAGGGGGAGCAGCAGCAGAGUAAUAACAAAUCAUAUCUUCUAGUUUGCUUUGAUCACCUGAAUGCAAUUCUUGACUCCAGGGCUAUGGAGAUUGCUUCUCAUUUUGUGCAGGAGCUGGGUUUGCAGGAGAUGGGGGAGCAGCAGCUAAUUGCAUUACAGGUGAUAAAAGCAAACUAGAAGGUAUGAAUUGUUAUUACUCUGUUGCUGCUCCCCCUGCUACUGCUCCCCCUGCUCCUAGUCCUACUGCUGCUCCCCCAGGAGAUACUAAUUGCA